CGGAUUCCCUCAGCGCCUGUCCAGGGAUGCCAUCGUGUCCCGCAGCUUUCGUCUGGUUCACAACCCUCAAUGUGCGCCUCACCUCAUGCUCCUGCACUGUGAGGAUGUGGCUGCUGUGUGCUAGUGGAUAAAGUGUGGUAUCCUCCAGUGACACCACCUCGAAAUGGGCAAAGAAGUGAUUCAGCUCCUCUGCUAGCAAUGGGUCACCACCAUCAGCCAAUAGGUUGCUGGGUUUGUAGUUGGUAAUAUGCUGGACCCCCUUCCACACCUGCCUAUAGUUGUUGUUCUGGAAACAGCCUUCAAUCUUCCCUCUGUGUGCAGCCUUAGCUACUUUGAUUCCUCUCUUCAGGUUGGCUCUGGCCAUACCAUAAAGCUCCUCAUCAGCAGCCCUGAAUGCAACGUUCCUCUCCUGAGCAGGCACUGCACUUCUUUGGUCAUCCCAGGUUUCUUGUUAGGAUAAACCCGGAUGCAUUUAUCCACUGUAACAGAGUUCAUGCAGUACUUAAUGUAUGCCAGGACAGCUGUUGUAUACAGCUCCAAAUCCUGAUGUUCAAAAAUAUCCCAGUUCGUUGACUCGAAACAGUCUAUGUUCUGACAGUUCUAAAUGUGGUAGGAACACUCUUUCUUAGGGGGUAUAAGCUGAAAUUAAAAGCAGGGACAUGUGGUCUGACUAACACAGAUGUGGUAGUUGCUUAGCCCUGAAGCCCAGCUUAAUGUUAUAGAAGGACUUAUCCAAUGUGUUUGCUCCUCUUGUAGCACAUUUAAUGUGCUGAUGGAAUUUAGGGAGAACUACCUUUAAAUCUGCAUGAUUAAAGUCCCCUGCAACAAUGUGAAAAGCCUCAAGAUACAUACUCUGCUGGCUGCUAAUGUUAUCAUGUAAGUGUCCAAGAGCUGAGCUAGCAUUAGCAUCCAGUGGUAUACAAACAGCAGUUAUCAAAACAAUAGUUAAUUCAGUAGGAAGAUAUAUGGGCCUGCAUUUAACAGUCAUAAACUCUAAAUCCAGGGAACAGUGACUGUUUACAGUCUUGGUAUUAGUACACCAGUUGUUGUUCACAUAAAUGCAUAACCCCCCUCCUCUGCUCUUACCGGAGUCCCUGGUCCUGUCGUAAUGAUGCACUGUGCGGUCUGCUAGCUCGAUAGCUGUAUCUGGAAUAGAUGAAUGAAGCCAGGUGAAGAGCAGGAUGCAGCUGUCUUUUACGACAUUGUUCGAUGCACCCUGUAGUUUCAGUUCAUCCAUCUUGUUAGCGAGGGAUCUCGCAUUGCAAACAUAUCUUCUUCAGAAAAUUACACGGCGCUAUCCUGUCCAGCAUUUGCUUGCACAAAAGAUUGUUAUGACCAGUUCAUGAAUAUGACGGCGAAGCCCUGCCAAUCCAGUGAAUACUUCUGUAAGAUAAUGAAAGGCGAUGCAGGUUACUCUGUCAGCUGCAGUGCCUCAUGUGGCGUGCCCUGUGAGAACGGGACUCUCAGUAAUUGCUCUGUCAACUGUUGCAACACAACUAACUGCCUCAACAACAGUCUGCUUGCCAUGUUCAAUUCACUCAAUACCACAGCUACAACAAAACCGACUACUACAACCACAACCAUAAAGACCACAGUUCCAACCACCCCAGCAAGCAAUGGCAAGAAGUGUCAUAAUUUCAAGUGUAAUGGAGCAGCGUGUUACAAAGCCAAUGUCGCCAGUAAUGCUGCAUGUCCAGUUGGUCUGGACUACUGCAUGCUACAAAAGACAACAUCUGGCACCACAGAAAGCUGGCAGGCGGGUUGCAGUACAGAUUGCAGAAAGAUGACAGCUUGUUCAAGCACCAGUACUGCCUGUCACCUGGAGUGCUGCAAUGCCACUACCACCUCAUGCCUCAAACUGACAGGUGAAGUGAACAUGCCCAGCUCUGCCACCAGGAGUCCUCACUGUCCCGCACUGCUCAUGGCCUCUUUGCUGUUCUUCUGGAUAGUCAAAAUCUUAAAUUGAGCAUAACAGUUACAUUUAAUAUGCAAUCCAUUCUGUUAGGAGAGUGUGUGUGUCUUAAAGCUGAUUGUACUUCUUUUACUGUC
ensembl:lncRNA